rnacentral:rRNA from 1 species
AAAUUGAAGAGUUUGAUCAUGGCUCAGAUUGAACGCUGGCGGCAGGCCUAACACAUGCAAGUCGAACGGUAACAGGAAGAAGCUUGCUUCUUUGCUGACGAGUGGCGGACGGGUGAGUAAUGUCUGGGAAACUGCCUGAUGGAGGGGGAUAACUACUGGAAACGGUAGCUAAUACCGCAUAACGUCGCAAGACCAAAGAGGGGGACCUUCAGGCCUCUUGCCAUCGGAUGUGCCCAGAUGGGAUUAGCUAGUAGGUGGGGUAACGGCUCACCUAGGCGACGAUCCCUAGCUGGUCUGAGAGGAUGACCAG